UGAGGAAUAUUGGUCAAUGGGCGGGAGCCUGAACCAGCCAAGUCGCGUGAGGGACGACGGCCCUACGGGUUGUAAACCUCUUUUGCCGGGGAGCAGGGAGCGCCACGCGUGGUGCUUUUGAGAGUACCCGGAGAAAAAGCAUCGGCUAACUCCGUGCCAGCAGCCGCGGUAAUACGGAGGAUGCGAGCGUUAUCCGGAUUUAUUGGGUUUAAAGGGUGCGUAGGCGGGAUGUCAAGUCGGCGGUAAAAAAUUCGGGGCCCAACCCCGUCGUGCCGUCGAAAACUGGCGUCCUAGAGUGGGCGAGAAAGUACGCGGAAUGCGUGGUGUAGCGGUGAAAUGCAUAGAUAUCACGCAGAACUCCGAUUGCGAAGGCAGCGUACCGGUGCCCAAACUGACGCUGAAAGCACGAAAGCGUGGGUAUCGAACAGGAUUAGAUACC
rnacentral:rRNA from 1 species